UUGGAGGGCAAGUCUGGUGCCAGCAGCCGCGGUAAUUCCAGCUCCAAUAGCGUAUAUUAAAGUUGUUGCAGUUAAAAAGCUCGUAGUUGAAUUUCGGGAUUGGCGCAUCGGUCGUGCCUCACGGGGUAUGAACUGGUGCAGUCAAUUUCUCACCUUCUGGAGAACCGCGAUGUCCUUAAUUGGAUGCCGCGGGGAACCAGGACCUUUACUUUGAAAAAAUUAGAGUGUUUAAAGCAGGCAUUUUUGCUUGAAUACAUUAGCAUGGAAUAAUAAAAUAGGACGGCAUGGUUCUAUUUUGUUGGUUUCUAGGACCACCGUAAUGAUUAAUAGGGAUAGUUGGGGGCAUUAGUAUUCAAUUGUCAGAGGUGAAAUUCUUGGAUUUAUUGAAGACUAACUACUGCGAAAGCAUUUGCCAAGGAUGUUUUCACUAAUCAAGAACGAAAGUUAGGGGAUCGAAGACGAUCAGAUACCGUCGUAGUCUUAACCAUAAACUAUGCCGACUAGGGAUCGGAUGAUGUUAAUUUUUUAAUGACUCAUUCGGCGCCUUACGGGAAAC
rnacentral:rRNA from 1 species